rnacentral:rRNA from 1 species
UACAGGGGGGGCAAGCGUUGUUCGGAAUUACUGGGCGUAAAGGGUCAGUAGGCGGCCAACUAAGUCCGACGUGAAAUCCCAAAGCUUAACUUUGGAACUGCGUCGGAUACUGGAUGGCUUGAAUUCGGGAGAGGGAUGCAGAAUUCCAGGUGUAGCGGUGAAAUGCGUAGAUAUCUGGAGGAAUACCGGUGGCGAAGGCGGCAUCCUGGACCGACAUUGACGCUGAACGACGAAAGCUAGGGGAGCAAACGGG